GACGAACGCUUGGCGGCGUGCUUAACUCAUGCAAGUCGAAUCGGAAAGGCCCCCACCUUGGUGGGGGUGCUCGAGUGGCGAACGGGUGAGUAACACGUGGGUGAUCUGCCCUGUACUUCGGGAUAAGCUUGGGAAACUGGGUCUAAUACCGGAUAGGACCAUGGUUUAGUGUCUCAUGGUGGAAAAAUUAUUGUUUUGGUGCAGGAUGAGCUCGCGGCCUAUCAGCUUGUUGGUGGGGUAAUGGCCUACCAAGGCGUCGACGGGUAGCCGGCCUGAGAGGGUGGACGGCCACAUUGGGACUGAGAUACGGCCCAGACUCCUACGGGAGGCAGCAGUGGGGAAUAUUGCACAAUGGGCGCAAGCCUGAUGCAGCGACGCCGCGUGGGGGAUGACGGCCUUCGGGUUGUAGGCUCCUUUCGUUAGGAACGAAGCCACACCUUUUU
rnacentral:rRNA from 1 species